CCCCUAGAUGUUCUGGGCCGCACGCGCGCUACACUGACGAAUGCAACGAGCUUAUAACCUUGGCCGAAAGGUCUGGGUAAUCUCCAAAUUUCGUCGUGAUGGGGAUAGAUUAUUGCAAUUAUUAAUCUUCAACGAGGAAUGCCUAGUAAGCGCAAGUCAUCAGCUUGCGUUGAUUACGUCCCUGCCCUUUGUACACACCGCCCGUCGCUCCUACCGAUUGAAUGGUCCGGUGAAGCGUUCGGACCGUGGCCUUUGGACGGUUCGCCGUCUGUUGGCUGCGGGAAGUUCGUUAAACCUUAUCAUUUAGAGGAAGGUGAAGUCGUANCA
rnacentral:rRNA from 1 species